AAAUGAGCACAAGUGAUAGAUUUGAUACUUAAAUAAUAUUUUAAAAGGAAGUUAUUAUUAAUAUUUGUGUGACGUAGGUGAAUUUAAAUAAAUACCCUCCCCCCAGAUUUUUGAUUUGGGUCCAUCCCUGCGUGCAUGUAAACUUCAAAUCUUAACUCUGGAUUACAAUCAUUUCUAUAGUUUGAAAAAAAAGUCAUAAACCGAGCUCCGUUCCGAAUUUCCCUAAUUUAGCGGUUUAACGUUGUUUAAAGCGUCGAGAGGCUGCAAGCCGUGUCCCUAAACACGCGGUCAUCACAUCCGACAUUCCUUCCGGGUUUUUUAUUCGAUUUUCGCUCCACAAACGGUUUGAUUUGUCACCGUUGUGCCAACGCAACCCACGACUAUUUAUUUUACAACUGGUCCCAAAUGUUCAAUCACAGGGCAUGGCUUACAGGCUGUGACUCGGGGAGUUUUACAGCAUGUCUGGCAACCGAGUGGCCACAACGAUAACAUAUUUUGUUUUAGUGAUUUAUUACAUUAAACGCAUUUAAAAAAAACAUAAUAAUAAUAAUAAAAAUUAACAUUAAAAUGUAUAAUAUAGUAAGAUAUACGAGUAUAAUAUUUAAUAUUUUAUGCGCAACGUGUACUGCGUGGUGGCAAACGCGCACGUACAACUCGCUUUAUACUAUUAAAUAUUAUUAUUUCGUUCGCCGAACACGACGGUUAACCACCUACUAUACAGUUUCGGCUGAAAACUCACGACAGACGACUCUAAAUGGCGAAUGGACAGUGGUUAUAUUGACGUUCUGAAACGUGCCGCCGACCGCGAACGAUAAUAUCGUAAACGACUAAAGCGACGCGACGCGCGGCGUCCCUUGUUUUCGAAGUACGAACGUGUCGCCGACAACGACGACCUUCGUCCGGGCGAGGUCAAAAGCGCGAAAAACAAAACAUUAAAAUCUGUUCUCGAGACGACAAUAAUAUUAAUUAUUGUAACAUAAGAUUGUCGUUGUUUCACAACAACGAAUGCCAUAAAAUCACACCUUAACCAUUUAACCAUCAAUAUCCGAGGCGGGCAGUAAUAAACAAAUACUUACGUGCAAAAAUACGAGAUACAGAAUAUAGUUUAAUAUCUAUUAAAAGUUCAAACACUCAGCUAUAAUUGUGAUUAUUGAUACUGAUUAAUGUAAGUAUGUAGUCACAUUAUCUCGUGUGUAUAAUGCCAGAAUCAUAAAUAUGUUUAUUUUUUGAUAUGAUAAUAAUCAAAUGCAAUUCAAUUUUUUUUAAGUUAAAUUAUGUAGAUGUUGUCUAGGAUAUCUUUUAAUACAUUUUAAGACUUGUAGGUAUAUCACUACUCGUUUAGUUAAGUCAGUCAAGGCAUUUAUAUUUACCAACCAAGUAAGUUAAUUUGGUGUUAAUAUGAAUAUCUGCUCAUUAACAAACUUUUGAUUAGUAAGUUGUAUAUAAUUUACAAUAAAAAAUAAGUAUUUACAACUGCAUUCUACACAUUUGACAACUUUUUUCCAUAAAAAUCAUACUUUUUAAUAAUAAUUAAGGGUCGUUUAAGCAUUAUUUUGUAUUGUUUUUGUUUCUUAUAAUAUUACACAAAAAAAAAUGUGUUUAUCAUUGAAUAAUGAUUGAAAACCGUUUAUUAAAUAUUUCAAAACAAAUUUAUACGAACAUUGAUCAGCAAUAAACUAGUAUAAUAUUAUAUUACGCUCAGCUCAUUGUGUGUGUCACUUCUAGAAACGAUGACUUCGCAUUACCUAUUUCAUUUACGAUCAAAUAUACCAUAAAUGAUUGUAUAAAUCAUUUUUUGCACAUAGGUUAUUUUAUAUCAAUAGACAAAUUCAAUUGAAUAUAAUUGUACAUUUACAAGUGAUUUAAUUUAAUUUAAUUUCCUAGUCAGUAAAGAUUGAAAUGUAAUCAAAUAUUUCAAUAUCACCUGUAUAAAAAUGAAUAUUCCAUUUAGUAGGUAAAGGGUAUUAUAAUCAAAUUAGAUACACUUUUGAUAUACCUAAAUGAAAUAUGCAAGAUCAAUAUUUUACCAAGCUAUAAUUAAAUUAAUACUUCGUUGAUAUAGUUUCACUUAAGUAUGAAUGAUAUUUUGUUUGAAUAUGAAUAUGUUGUAAGUGUAUCGGCCCAAAUACAUAUUUGAUCGGUAUGAUCACAAUAAUAUGUUGUAAGAUAUUAGGAUUGUGUUUGACAGUGGAGAUAUAGAGUUUAAUUAAUGAAUUAUUUUUAAAUUUAUAUUUUCGCUGAAUUCUCACUUCUGAUAAAAGUUAUUUAUAUGUUUAUAUAUUUUAAUUUACUGUAAGUAUGAUAUUUAAAACACAUUUUAGAUUUGUAGUUUUGGUCUUUGAGGGAUCGGAAUGAUAAUAAGGUUAUCACUUAUCUGUCUAAUUGGUAAUUAUUUUCAUGUCAGUAAUUACUUUAUUUAAUAAGCUUAAAAAAUCUUUAAUUCACAUUUACUUUUAUGAGUUUAUGACCACUAGAAAUAUGAAAUAUGUCUACAGUGUAGCACCAUAAGGGUUUUCUUUAAUAUAAUGGUAGUAUAACUACACGUCGACAGUCUUGCACUAUAAUAUUAUACUUCAGAGAAUCGUUGAAAAUCAAUUUACAAACACAAAGCUCUUGAAUGCUCUCAAAUUAAAAAAAAAAAACUAUACUAUACUUCUAUACUA